rnacentral:pre_miRNA from 1 species
GCGAUUGUGACAUACUUCCUUACAACGCCAUAUUUCCCAUAUUAUUGGUAUGGAAUGUAAAGAAGUAUGUAGCAUUCCC